rnacentral:lncRNA from 1 species
UUAUUUGGUGGUAUGCCAUUCUCUUCCAUGCAAGCCACUAUCUCUAAUGCCUUCUUGAAGAAAGCAGCCCUAACACAUAUAUCUGCCAAACUAUCUAACAGACCUUCAUCUGGUUUCAAUGGGGGGGAAUCGGAGUAUGAGUUCUUGCCUUCCUCCUUCAUCUCACACCUUUCCUUUAUCUCUUCCAAAGCAACAGUGCUUCCCCUGGUUUUCUAGCCACUGCAAUCCCAUUUACUAGACUACCAUAAGUAGCAACGUUAGAGUAAAACCCGUUUUCCUUCAUUCUCUGGAUGACUUUCUUUGCUUCUUCAACCAGUCCCAAUCUACAAUAUCCCUCCACCAACAUAUUCCAAGCAACCAAAUCAACUUUUACCCGUGGAUCUCUAAGCAUCUCAUCGAAAACCUUGUUAGCUAACUUUGGUUGACCUGACAAAGCAAAAGCUUUCAUCAAUGUAGUGUAACUGAUCUUCGUGGGAGUGAUUCCUUGCUCUCGCAUCUUAUUGAAGAACACAAGUGCUCCAGCACUGUCGUCGAUCAAUAUGCACCCAUCAAUCAAUAUAUUAUAUGAAACCACAUCAGGCUUAAUCCCUGCAUCAUCAGCCAUCUCCCUUAGCAGCUCCUUUGCCUUGUCUAUUUGCAACUGCUGGCAGUAACCCUUGAGAAGAAUAUUGUAAGUAAUCCGAUUCGCAGGCACACGAAUUCUUGUCAUUUCAGCUAGCACUUCUCGCGCUCUAUCCAUCAAUCCAGCCUUAACAAUGCAGAAACAACUGUUGUGUAUGUAACAUGGUCAGGAUGACUAGCCUUAUCAUCUUGAUGCCUCAUCGCCUCUAAAGUUCUCACCGUGUCAGUAACUCUACCUGCCUUCAUAUAACCUUUCAUUAGUGUCGUAUAAAUCCUAGAAUUCGGAGCAUACACUUUCGGCAAUAAAAGCGGUUCGCUGCUCGGCUCAAUCAAAUUAGGGAGCAACUUCUCAAAUACUACAUCAUCUAUCUUUUUUUUACUCAAAUCUUCCAUAUCUUCCUCCUUUUCAUCCUCCAGGUCGUAGUCGUCAUAGUCAUCAUCUUCCUUGGCUUGUUUUAAAUCUUCCAAAUUUGCAUCUCGGAGAAUCUUACAAAGAUCAUUCCUUCCUUCCCUCAUAGCUUGAACAAUUUUCUCAGCCGUUUCAAGAUCAUCAAAUCCAACAUAAGCAGCAACGAGGGAAUGCAGAGUAGUCAUACAAAAACGUAUUCCUCUCUCAAUAAUCCUCUCCAGCACAAACACAAGCAAAUCUUUCCUAUCAGCUCUAGCACACAACUUAUCAUGACAUUAUAAGUUAAAACAUCAGGUUCGCAGCCCCAUUCAUGCAUUUCAUCGAACAGUUUCAAAAACUUACUUUUGUCCCCCAAAUUAGCACAAGCGUUAAGCACAGCAUUAUAGGCAGCCGUGUCAGGUUUGGAAUCAGCAACAAUUGAAGGAUCCGCGAAACGCCUAACGCGGCGAGUCACGGAGUCAAAAAGGCUUAUCGACUCAGAGGGUGACUCGGUAGAGAGCCGCGAAACGACAGCGCUCCAUGCUUUGACGUGGGGCAGGUAACCAGAGCGAAGCAUGGACUUGAUGAGCGAAGAGGCAUAAAGGGUAUGGCCGGAUUUCGCGGAGGCCGAUGCGAGGAGGCCGAGGGAGUUGGCGUCGAGACGGUGCAGCUGGCGUUCAUUGCGAAGGCGGGUGAUGAUAGUACGAGCGCGUGCGAGAGAUUGAGGAGUGGCUUGGUAAGAGAGUUGAGCAACUAAGCGGCUUAAGCAAGUAGGGGUGGGGAGGUGAGGGGAUUGAGAGUAAAGGGUCCAAGCUUGUUCGGUUUUCCUUUGGCCGGAGGAGUGAAAGAAGUGUCUGAUCAUCGUUGGUCUUUUUAUCACUAGGGAGAGAUAAAUCGGUAGCGGUGGGUUGAGCUCGCAAAGAAAAGGGACGCGCGGGCUUAGAGGAAGUAGUGGAGGUGGAGGGUGAAGGCGGUAGAGGAAGGAGAGAGAGCCAGGGGAGAGCGGAGGGAAAUGAGGAGGAAGAAGAACAAGGGGAAGGAGAAGCAAUAUUCAUAGACAUGGCUGGUCCAUUUGGGGGGGGGGACAAGGUAAACAAGUAUUAGAAGGAUGUGGUUGAGGAAGAAGAAAGGUAUGGUUUGAAUGGAGAAGGGAAGUACUACGUCGACUGGAUUAUGUCCUUUUUUCUUUAUCCACACCUCGCUGCUCCUUCACACUCAAACUCUAUUUCUUCCUUCAAACUUUACACCGCUCUAUCAUUUCUUUUUAUUCGGAUAUAUAUAAAAACACGAUCAACCCCUCUAAAAGCUAUAAAUACCCUUAUCUCAUUUAGUUUUCUUAAAAAAAUAUGUAAAUACAAUCUUAUUGUAAUGUUUAGAACAAGUGGUUUCAAAUUAAGAUCGCGUGGUACAUCAUCUUCAAGUUCCUCUGCUCCGUAUAUUAAUUUCACCAGUUCCCCUUAAUUAUUGGUCGAUGAAUUUAAUCUGUAGUAAUGUAACUCAACUUCAAUUGAAUGUUUUAUGUAUUGGUUGAGAAGAAAUUUAAAUAAUUUUGAGAUUUAUGUUUUGUUAAAAUAAUAUGUUAACAUUACACCUCAACGUUUUUCUUUACAAUUCAAACAAAUAAUAUUAAUUUUUUGUAUUUUUUUUAUCCAUGUAAGAUCAUUGUCGAAAAAACACAAAUUCCAGGUACUCAUCACUUAAUCAAACCUACAAAACACGAAAAAGAAAAAUUAAUCACUAGACUCGCUCUAAUGAAUAUCUUGAAAAGAAAAAUUCUUUCAGAAUUUGACCACGUUUAUUUCAUAACCAUGUUGAACAUCUGUUUAUCCUUUUGAUGGUGCCAAAACUUUAAAUCUUACAUUUACCAUGCAUGAUGAAAGCCAAAUCAUGCAUGUCCCACGCAAUCUAAGCACGACGAAACCAUGUCAUAUCUUUUCUUUUCCCUUUUUCGUUCACAUAAAAUGAACAUUAAUUCCAUGCAAGGAAGGCAAUAAAACUAUACUACGCAACAACCUCAAAAAUGACCAGCUCAUGGUAUCAUCUUCCCAUCUUUUUUCUUUUUUUUCUUUUUUAUCUUCCCUGGCUAUUUAGGGUGGAUUGCAGAAGAAAUUUCCUACAGGCUAGAGCAUGAUUGAAGAUUCUGGCAACAUAACAAAGAAUUUAAGAAGAGAAAACAUAAAGAAUUGCCUCUUUGUACAUGGACAAACAACGGACUAUCGUGCAACCGGCCGUGCAAUGGACUCAUCCAAUGACAGGUAAUUAUCAGUUCCAAUCAUAUCCAAGGAACCAGGGUUAUACGAAGAAUUGGCAGAGUUCCUAGACAUUUCAUCCGAGUUACCUUCUCUAACCAUCAUACCUUCCUUUUCAAUUAGGAUGGCAUCUUGGAUCUCCUUGAGAACUUCCGAUAUCGAUGGCCUCAUAUGUCCGUGAGGUUGCACACAAUUUAAAGCUUUCUCAGCUAUCUUCCACAUUGAUUGAAUGUCAUAGUCAUUGCGAAGGUAAGGAUCAAUGAUUCCUUGAAUGUCCCCACUCUCGAUAUGCAACUUUGCCUGCAAUAUUAUUUAUUGGAAGAAAUCAACAAAUGAAUAUCUCAAUUCAUUUUCCAAACCAUAAGCAGCAGUAGGAAAGUAUAUAGAGAAACAAAGUAACAUUUUGAACAAUGCCAUUGCUUUUGUAUACUAUUAGUUACUGUUAAAAGUGAUUAGAGGUUCAGAAGUUAUGAAAAACUAUAUCUUUAAUGAUAGUUGUGAAACUAUACGAAAUUACCCAUUGGACAAUGUUUUCGGCAAUUAACGCCAACGCUUUAUUAGAUUAUGGCUUCUUGACCAGACAUCAGUUCUAGAAGAAUCACACCAAAGCUGUAAACAUCGCUUUUAUCCGUUAAUUGCUGGGAGAUAUAAUACCUGCGCACCAAAAGCAUUCAGCAACAGUAGAUUUGGUGUCUAUGCAUGAUAACACUUAUCUAAAAGACAAAUCCCUCUACUUUGUUUCUUAUUUAUAAAUCAGUGCAAAUAGUCAUUUAAAUGAUUUCAACAAAAGAAAGAAGGAUUAGUAGAAGCAAGGCCUUACUCAGGAUCCAAGUCCCCCACAGUUCCCGAACUAUGCUUGACACAGUGAUGCUCCAUCUACGGCAAGCCUUUGAAAGCCCAAAAUCUGAAACCUUUUGCCCUCAUGUGCUUGUCGAGAAAGAAUAUUG